UACGUAGGGGGCGAGCGUUGUCCGGAUUUAUUGGGCGUAAAAGGCUUGUAGGUGGCCACGUCAAGUCGGAUGUGAAAUCUCCCGGCUCAACUGGGAGGGGUCAUUCGAUACUGGCGGGCUCGAGGCCGGUAGGGGGAAGCGGAAUUCCCGGUGUAGCAGUGAAAUGCGUAGAGAUCGGGAGGAACAUCUGUGGCGAAGGCGGCCAUCUGGACCAGCACUGACACUGAGGCACGAAAGCGUGGGGAGCAAACAGG
rnacentral:rRNA from 1 species